rnacentral:rRNA from 1 species
UGGGGAAUCUUGCACAAUGGGCGAAAGCCUGAUGCAGCGACGCCGCGUGCGGGAUGAAGGCCUUCGGGUUGUAAACCGCUUUCAGCAGGGACGAGGCCGCAAGGUGACGGUACCUGCAGAAGAAGCCCCGGCUAACUACGUGCCAGCAGCCGCGGUAAUACGUAGGGGGCAAGCGUUAUCCGGAUUCAUUGGGCGUAAAGCGCGCGUAGGCGGUUUGUUAGGUCAGGAGUUAAAUCUGGGGGCUCAACCCCUAUCCGCUCCUGAUACCGGCAGGCUUGAGUCUGGUAGGGGAAGGCGGGAUUCCAAGUGUAGCGGUGAAAUGCGCAGAUAUUUGGAAGAACACCGGUGGCGAAGGCGGCCUUCUGGGCCACGACUGACGCUGGGGCGCGAAAGCUAGGGGAGCGAACAGG